rnacentral:rRNA from 1 species
GAUGAACGCUGGCGGCGUGCCUAAUACAUGCAAGUCGAGCGAAUGGAUUAAGAGCUUGCUCUUAUGAAGUUAGCGGCGGACGGGUGAGUAACACGUGGGUAACCUGCCCAUAAGACUGGGAUAACUCCGGGAAACCGGGGCUAAUACCGGAUAACAUUUUGAACCGCACGGUUCGAAAUUGAAAGGCGGCUUCGGCUGUCACUUAUGGAUGGACCCGCGUCGCAUUAGCUAGUUGGUGAGGUAACGGCUCACCAAGGCAGCGAUGCGUAGCCGACCUGAGAGGGUGAUCGGCCACACUGGGACUGAGACACGGCCCAGACUCCUACGGGAGGCAGCAGUAGGGAAUCUUCCGCAAUGGACGAAAGUCUGACGGAGCAACGCCGCGUGAGUGAUGAAGGCUUUCGGGUCGUAAGACUCUGUUGUUAGGGAAGAACAAGUGCUAGUUGAAUAAGCUGGCACCUUGACGGUACCUAACCAGAAAGCCACGGCUAACUACGUGCCAGCCGCCGCUGUAA